UGUGGAUGAAAAAAUUAUACUACAACUACUGUUCGUCUCAGAUCAGGAAGGUCUCCCAUGGAUUCUGUUGUCCAUUCAGCAUCAACUUUCCCCAAGCCGCCCUUCAUUCCUUAUAUUCUUCUGCAUCUCUGGCAAUGACAUUUGUGGACAUCAAUUUUUGGAACUCCGGAGCCCUGCGACUGUAGGAAACGGGAGGGUUUUAUU
rnacentral:lncRNA from 11 species